GCUCAACCCUGGGGCGGGGGGCGAUACUGCCGGGCUAGGGGGCGGAAGAGGCCGCCGGUACUCCGGGGGUAGGGGCGAAAUCCGUUAAUCCCCGGAGGACCACCAGUGGCGAAAGCGGGCGGCCAGAACGCGCCCGACGGUGAGGGGCGAAAGCCGGGGGAGCAAACCGGGCUCAGGUCGGCGUUGCGCAGACAAUCUAAUCAUCCAGUCCCACCACGCGCGCCAACCCCCUCAUCUUUACCAAGCCGACCUGGCCCGGGCUCAAAGGGGAUUAGAUACCCCCGUAGUCC
rnacentral:rRNA from 1 species